rnacentral:rRNA from 1 species
UAUCGCACAAUGGGGGAAACCCUGAUGCAGCGACGCCGCGUGAGUGAAGAAGUAUUUCGGUAUGUAAAGCUCUAUCAGCAGGGAAGAAAAUGACGGUACCUGAUUAAGAAGCCCCGGCUAACUACGUGCCAGCAGCCGCGGUAAUACGUAGGGGGCAAGCGUUAUCCGGAUUUACUGGGUGUAAAGGGAGCGUAGACGGCAGCACAAGUCUGGAGUGAAAUGCCGGGGGUUAACCCCGGAACUGCUUUGGAAAAUGUGCAGCUAGGAUGCAGGAGAGGUAAGUGGAAUUCCUAGUGUAGCGGUGAAAUGCGUAGAUAUUAGGAGGAAAACCAGUGGCGAAGGCGGCUUACUGGACUGUAACUGACGUUGAGGCUCGAAAGCGUGGGGAGGAAACAGG